rnacentral:tRNA from 1 species
UCACUAGCUGAGUGGAUAACGCGGUGGCGUUUGAAGCGAAAGACACUGGGUUCGAGUCCCAGAGUAA